AUGCCGCGUGAAUGAAGAAGGCUUAGGGUUGUAAAAUUCUUUUGUCCGUGACGAUGAUGACGGUAGCGGACGAAUAAGCCCUGGCUAACUCUGUGCCAGCAGCCGCGGUAAUACAGAGAGGGCAAGCGUUGUCCGGAAUGACUGGGCGUAAAGCGCGCGCAGGCGGUUUUUUAAGUUGGAUGUGAAAUCCCCGGGCUUAACCUGGGAACUGCAUACGAUACUGGGAAACUGGAGGCCGAGAGAGGAAAGCGGAAUGACGAGUGUAGAGGUGAAAUUCGUAGAUAUUCGUCGGAACACCGGAGGCGAAGGCGGCUUUCUGGCUCGGACCUGACGCUGAGGCGCGAAAGCGUGGGGAGCAAACAGGAUUAGAUACCCUGGUAGUCCACGCCCUAAACGAUGAGUGCUAGAUGUUGGAUUUACGGAUUCAGUGUCGCAGCUAACGCAUUAAGCACUCCAGACUGGGCGAGUACGGUCGCAAGAC
rnacentral:rRNA from 1 species